rnacentral:rRNA from 1 species
AGUCGAGGGGCAGCAUGGUCUUAGCUUGCUAAGGCCGAUGGCGACCGGCGCACGGGUGAGUAACGCGUAUCCAACCUGCCUUACACUCUUGGACAGCCUUCUGAAAGGGAGAUUAAUACAAGAUGUUAUCAUGAGUAAGCAUUUUCGCAUGAUUAAAGGUUUACCGGUGUAAGAUGGGGAUGCGUUCCAUUAGAUAGUAGGCGGGGUAACGGCCCACCUAGUCUUCGAUGGAUAGGGGUUCUGAGAGGAAGGUCCCCCACAUUGGAACUGAGACACGGUCCAAACUCCUACGGGAGGCAGCAGUGAGGAAUAUUGGUCAAUGGACGAGAGUCUGAACCAGCCAAGUAGCGUGAAGGAUGAAGGUUCUAUGGAUUGUAAACUUCUUUUAUACGGGAAUAAACGGAUCCACGUGUGGAUUUUUGCAUGUACCGUAUGAAUAAGGAUCGGCUAACUCCGUGCCAGCAGCCGCGGUAAUACGGAGGAUCCGAGCGUUAUCCGGAUUUAUUGGGUUUAAAGGGAGCGUAGAUGGGUUGUUAAGUCAGUUGUGAAAGUUUGCGGCUCAACCGUAAAAUUGCAAUUGAUACUGGCAGUCUUGAGUACAGUUGAGGUAGGCGGAAUUCGUGGUGUAGCGGUGAAAUGCUUAGAUAUCACGAAGAACUCCGAUUGCGAAGGCAGCUUACUAACCUGUAACUGACAUUGAUGCUCGAAAGUGUGGGUAUCAAACAGGAUUAGAUACCCUGGUAGUCCACACGG